GAGUUUGAUCAUGGCUCAGAUUGAACGCUGGCGGCAUGCCUUACACAUGCAAGUCGAACGGCAGCAUGAUCUAGCUUGCUAGAUUGAUGGCGAGUGGCGAACGGGUGAGUAAUACAUCGGAACGUGCCCUGUAGUGGGGGAUAACUAGUCGAAAGAUUAGCUAAUACCGCAUACGACCUGAGGGUGAAAGUGGGGGACCGCAAGGCCUCAUGCUAUAGGAGCGGCCGAUGUCUGAUUAGCUAGUUGGUGAGGUAAAGGCUCACCAAGGCGACGAUCAGUAGCUGGUCUGAGAGGACGAUCAGCCACACUGGGACUGAGACACGGCCCAGACUCCUACGGGAGGCAGCAGUGGGGAAUUUUGGACAAUGGGGGCAACCCUGAUCCAGCAAUGCCGCGUGUGUGAAGAAGGCCUUCGGGUUGUAAAGCACUUUUGUCCGGAAAGAAAUCGCACUUACUAAUAUUAGGUGUGGAUGACGGUACCGGAAGAAUAAGGACCGGCUAACUACGUGCCAGCAGCCGCGGUAAUACGUAGGGUCCAAGCGUUAAUCGGAAUUACUGGGCGUAAAGCGUGCGCAGGCGGUUGUGCAAGACCGAUGUGAAAUCCCCGGGCUUAACCUGGGAAUUGCAUUGGUGACUGCACGGCUAGAGUGUGUCAGAGGGGGGUAGAAUUCCACGUGUAGCAGUGAAAUGCGUAGAGAUGUGGAGGAAUACCGAUGGCGAAGGCAGCCCCCUGGGAUAACACUGACGCUCAUGCACGAAAGCGUGGGGAGCAAACAGGAUUAGAUACCCUGGUAGUCCACGCCCUAAACGAUGUCAACUAGUUGUUGGGGAUUCAUUUCCUUAGUAACGUAGCUAACGCGUGAAGUUGACCGCCUGGGGAGUACGGUCGCAAGAUUAAAACUCAAAGGAAUUGACGGGGACCCGCACAAGCGGUGGAUGAUGUGGAUUAAUUCGAUGCAACGCGAAAAACCUUACCUACCCUUGACAUGCCACUAACGAAGCAGAGAUGCAUUAGGUGCUCGAAAGAGAAAGUGGACACAGGUGCUGCAUGGCUGUCGUCAGCUCGUGUCGUGAGAUGUUGGGUUAAGUCCCGCAACGAGCGCAACCCUUGUCUCUAGUUGCUACGAAAGGGCACUCUAGAGAGACUGCCGGUGACGAACCGGAGGAAGGUGGGGAUGACGUCAAGUCCUCAUGGCCCUUAUGGGUAGGGCUUCACACGUCAUACAAUGGUGCAUACAGAGGGUUGCCAAGCCGCGAGGUGGAGCUAAUCCCAGAAAAUGCAUCGUAGUCCGGAUCGUAGUCUGCAACUCGACUACGUGAAGCUGGAAUCGCUAGUAAUCGCGGAUCAGCAUGCCGCGGUGAAUACGU
rnacentral:rRNA from 1 species